rnacentral:rRNA from 1 species
AUUGAACGCUGGCGGCAGGCCUAACACAUGCAAGUCGAGCGGGGUGAUGGUGCUUGCACUUUCACUUAUCGACGGACGGGGGAGUAAUGCUUAGGAAUCUGCCUAUUAGUGGGGGACAACAUCUCGAAAGGAAUGCUAAUACCGCAUACGUCCUACGUGACAAACCAGUGGAGCACUUGUGACCUUGCCCUACUAGAUGAGCCUAAGUCGGAUUAGCUAGUUGGUGUGGUAAAUGCCUACCAAGGCGACGAUCUGUAGCGGCUUUGAGAGGAUGAUCCGCCACACUGGGACUGAGACACGGCCCAGACUCCUACGGGAGGCAGCAGUGGGGAAUAUUGGACAAUGGGGGGAACCCUGAUCCAGCCAUGCCGCGUGUGUGAAGAAGGCCUUAUGGUUGUAAAGCACUUUAAGCGAGGAGGAGGCUCUUUUGGUUAAUACCCAAGAUGAGUGGACGUUACUCGCAGAAGAAGCACCGGCUAACUCUGUGCCAGCCGCCGCCGUAA